rnacentral:rRNA from 1 species
UUUUAACUGUGCAAAGGUAGCAUAAUCAUUAGUCUUUUAAUUGAAGGCUGGUAUGAACGGUUGGACGAGGUAUAAGCUGUUUCAUAUAAAAUUAUAAUAGAAUUUUAUAUUUUAGUUAAAAAGCUAAAAUAUAAUUAAAAGACGAGAAGACCCUAUAAAUCUUUAUACUUUAGAUAAUUUAAAUUUUUUGGGUUUAUUUUAUUUUUAUUAUAUUGAGUAUUUUGUUGGGGUGAUAUUAAAAUUUAAUGAACUUUUAAUUGUGUUUAAAUCAUUAAUUUAUGAAUUGUUGAUCCAUUAAUAGUGAUUAUAAGAUUAAGUUACUUUAGGGAUAACAGCGUAAUUUUUUUGGAGAGUUCAUAUCGAUAAAAAAGUUUGCGACCUCGAUGUUGGAUUAAGAUAUAAUUUUAGGUGUAGUCGCUUAAAUGUUAAGUCUGUUCGACUUUUAAAUUCUU